GUAAGCGGUAGUUUCUAGCACCUGGAAUUGUGAGUAAAAAAUGAAUUAACACAGAAGAGUUCCUGGCACAUAGCAAGGGGUCAUGGAAGGAUGACACUGCAAGUGCCCAACUAGAAAAGUGACAGCAUUUUACUCCAUUUUAAAUGGCUUUCGGUGGAUUAUGAGGAUCCAUAUGCAGCCUGAGACUGUUUGUUUCAAGAUUAUUUGAGAAGAACCAAGAAGGUAUCCUGUUUUAACGCCAGCUGAUGUAAUGCAAUUCAAUUCUAGCACUAAGCACCUGGAAUUAGUGCACACUCCACAAGGCAAUGCAGAUCUUCAGAAGGCAUUUGGUUCCAGAGGUCUGCAGCUUCUGGGAUGCUUGGGUCACGCUUCAGUUUACCAAGGACAGUGGGAGCCACAGCAACAGAUGACAUUCAUAAGAGAAUGAGGGAAGAGAAGAUGGAGGC